GACCAUUCUUUUUCUUUAGAAUUUAGGCCAUACGGACAGCCGGGUCGACUGCCGA
rnacentral:sRNA from 2 species